AGCGUACACGGUGGAUGCCCUGGCAGUCAGAGGCGAUGAAGGACGUGCUAAUCUGCGAUAAGCGUCGGUAAGGUGAUAUGAACCGUUAUAACCGGCGAUUUCCGAAUGGGGAAACCCAGUGUGAUUCGUCACACUAUCAUUAACUGAAUCCAUAGGUUAAUGAGGCGAACCGGGGGAACUGAAACAUCUAAGUACCCCGAGGAAAAGAAAUCAACCGAGAUUCCCCCAGUAGCGGCGAGCGAACGGGGAGCAGCCCAGAGCCUGAAUCAGUGUGUGUGUUAGUGGAAGCGUCUGGAAAGGCGCGCGAUACAGGGUGACAGCCCCGUACACAAAAAUGCACAUACUGUGAGCUCGAUGAGUAGGGCGGGACACGUGGUAUCCUGUCUGAAUAUGGGGGGACCAUCCUCCAAGGCUAAAUACUCCUGACUGACCGAUAGUGAACCAGUACCGUGAGGGAAAGGCGAAAAGAACCCCGGCGAGGGGAGUGAAAAAGAACCUGAAACCGUGUACGUACAAGCAGUGGGAGCACAGAGCAAUCUGUGUGACUGCGUACCUUUUGUAUAAUGGGUCAGCGACUUAUAUUCUGUAGCAAGGUUAACCGAAUAGGGGAGCCGAAGGGAAACCGAGUCUUAACUGGGCGUUAAGUUGCAGGGUAUAGACCCGAAACCCGGUGAUCUAGCCAUGGGCAGGUUGAAGGUUGGGUAACACUAACUGGAGGACCGAACCGACUAAUGUUGAAAAAUUAGCGGAUGACUUGUGGCUGGGGGUGAAAGGCCAAUCAAACCGGGAGAUAGCUGGUUCUCCCCGAAAGCUAUUUAGGUAGCGCCUCGUGAAUUCAUCUCCGGGGGUAGAGCACUGUUUCGGCAAGGGGGUCAUCCCGACUUACCAACCCGAUGCAAACUGCGAAUACCGGAGAAUGUUAUCACGGGAGACACACGGCGGGUGCUAACGUCCGUCGUGAAGAGGGAAACAACCCAGACCGCCAGCUAAGGUCCCAAAGUCAUGGUUAAGUGGGAAACGAUGUGGGAAGGCCCAGACAGCCAGGAUGUUGGCUUAGAAGCAGCCAUCAUUUAAAGAAAGCGUAAUAGCUCACUGGUCGAGUCGGCCUGCGCGGAAGAUGUAACGGGGCUAAACCAUGCACCGAAGCUGCGGCAGCGACGCUUAUGCGUUGUUGGGUAGGGGAGCGUUCUGUAAGCCUGUGAAGGUGUGCUGUGAGGCAUGCUGGAGGUAUCAGAAGUGCGAAUGCUGACAUAAGUAACGAUAAAGCGGGUGAAAAGCCCGCUCGCCGGAAGACCAAGGGUUCCUGUCCAACGUUAAUCGGGGCAGGGUGAGUCGACCCCUAAGGCGAGGCCGAAAGGCGUAGUCGAUGGGAAACAGGUUAAUAUUCCUGUACUUGGUGUUACUGCGAAGGGGGGACGGAGAAGGCUAUGUUGGCCGGGCGACGGUUGUCCCGGUUUAAGCGUGUAGGCUGGUUUUCCAGGCAAAUCCGGAAAAUCAAGGCUGAGGCGUGAUGACGAGGCACUACGGUGCUGAAGCAACAAAUGCCCUGCUUCCAGGAAAAGCCUCUAAGCAUCAGGUAACAUCAAAUCGUACCCCAAACCGACACAGGUGGUCAGGUAGAGAAUACCAAGGCGCUUGAGAGAACUCGGGUGAAGGAACUAGGCAAAAUGGUGCCGUAACUUCGGGAGAAGGCACGCUGAUAUGUAGGUGAAGUCCCUCGCGGAUGGAGCUGAAAUCAGUCGAAGAUACCAGCUGGCUGCAACUGUUUAUUAAAAACACAGCACUGUGCAAACACGAAAGUGGACGUAUACGGUGUGACGCCUGCCCGGUGCCGGAAGGUUAAUUGAUGGGGUUAGCGCAAGCGAAGCUCUUGAUCGAAGCCCCGGUAAACGGCGGCCGUAACUAUAACGGUCCUAAGGUAGCGAAAUUCCUUGUCGGGUAAGUUCCGACCUGCACGAAUGGCGUAAUGAUGGCCAGGCUGUCUCCACCCGAGACUCAGUGAAAUUGAACUCGCUGUGAAGAUGCAGUGUACCCGCGGCAAGACGGAAAGACCCCGUGAACCUUUACUAUAGCUUGACACUGAACAUUGAGCCUUGAUGUGUAGGAUAGGUGGGAGGCUUUGAAGUGUGGACGCCAGUCUGCAUGGAGCCGACCUUGAAAUACCACCCUUUAAUGUUUGAUGUUCUAACGUUGACCCGUAAUCCGGGUUGCGGACAGUGUCUGGUGGGUAGUUUGACUGGGGCGGUCUCCUCCUAAAGAGUAACGGAGGAGCACGAAGGUUGGCUAAUCCUGGUCGGACAUCAGGAGGUUAGUGCAAUGGCAUAAGCCAGCUUGACUGCGAGCGUGACGGCGCGAGCAGGUGCGAAAGCAGGUCAUAGUGAUCCGGUGGUUCUGAAUGGAAGGGCCAUCGCUCAACGGAUAAAAGGUACUCCGGGGAUAACAGGCUGAUACCGCCCAAGAGUUCAUAUCGACGGCGGUGUUUGGCACCUCGAUGUCGGCUCAUCACAUCCUGGGGCUGAAGUAGGUCCCAAGGGUAUGGCUGUUCGCCAUUUAAAGUGGUACGCGAGCUGGGUUUAGAACGUCGUGAGACAGUUCGGUCCCUAUCUGCCGUGGGCGCUGGAGAACUGAGGGGGGCUGCUCCUAGUACGAGAGGACCGGAGUGGACGCAUCACUGGUGUUCGGGUUGUCAUGCCAAUGGCACUGCCCGGUAGCUAAAUGCGGAAGAGAUAAGUGCUGAAAGCAUCUAAGCACGAAACUUGCCCCGAGAUGAGUUCUCCCUGACUCCUUGA
rnacentral:rRNA from 1 species